rnacentral:rRNA from 1 species
UUAAGUGGGAAACGAUGUGGGAAGGCCCAGACAGCCAGGAUGUUGGCUUAGAAGCAGCCAUCAUUUAAAGAAAGCGUAAUAGCUCACUGGUCGAGUCGGCCUGCGCGGAAGAUGUAACGGGGCUAAACCAUGCACCGAAGCUGCGGCAGCGACGCUUAUGCGUUGUUGGGUAGGGGAGCGUUCUGUAAGCCUGUGAAGGUGUACUGUGAGGUAUGCUGGAGGUAUCAGAAGUGCGAAUGCUGACAUAAGUAACGAUAAAGCGGGUGAAAAGCCCGCUCGCCGGAAGACCAAGGGUUCCUGUCCAACGUUAAUCGGGGCAGGGUGAGUCGACCCCUAAGGCGAGGCCGAAAGGCGUAGUCGAUGGGAAACAGGUUAAUAUUCCUGUACUUGGUGUUACUGCGAAGGGGGGACGGAGAAGGCUAUGUUGGCCGGGCGACGGUUGUCCCGGUUUAAGCGUGUAGGCUGGUUUUCCAGGCAAAUCCGGAAAAUCAAGGCUGAGGCGUGAUGACGAGGCACUACGGUGCUGAAGCAACAAAUGCCCUGCUUCCAGGAAAAGCCUCUAAGCAUCAGGUAACAUCAAAUCGUACCCCAAACCGACACAGGUGGUCAGGUAGAGAAUACCAAGGCGCUUGAGAGAACUCGGGUGAAGGAACUAGGCAAAAUGGUGCCGUAACUUCGGGAGAAGGCACGCUGAUAUGUAGGUGAAGCGACUUGCUCGUGGAGCUGAAAUCAGUCGAAGAUACCAGCUGGCUGCAACUGUUUAUUAAAAACACAGCACUGUGCAAACACGAAAGUGGACGUAUACGGUGUGACGCCUGCCCGGUGCCGGAAGGUUAAUUGAUGGGGUCAGCGCAAGCGAAGCUCUUGAUCGAAGCCCCGGUAAACGGCGGCCGUAACUAUAACGGUCCUAAGGUAGCGAAAUUCCUUGUCGGGUAAGUUCCGACCUGCACGAAUGGCGUAAUGAUGGCCAGGCUGUCUCCACCCGAGACUCAGUGAAAUUGAACUCGCUGUGAAGAUGCAGUGUACCCGCGGCAAGACGGAAAGACCCCGUGAACCUUUACUAUAGCUUGACACUGAACAUUGAGCCUUGAUGUGUAGGAUAGGUGGGAGGCUUUGAAGUGUGGACGCCAGUCUGCAUGGAGCCGACCUUGAAAUACCACCCUUUAAUGUUUGAUGUUCUAACGUUGACCCGUAAUCCGGGUUGCGGACAGUGUCUGGUGG